rnacentral:misc_RNA from 1 species
AAGUCGUAACAAGGUCUCCGUUGGUGAACCAGCGGAGGGAUCAUUACAGAGUUGCAAAACUCCCAACCAUUGUGAACCUACCACACCGUUGCUUCGGCGGGUGGCCCGGGGCAACCCAGGCUGCGCCGGCCCCCCUCUUCGGGGGGCCCGGCAAGCCCGUCAGAGGACUGAAACCCUGGAAUUACUGGCCUCUCUGAGUAACUUAUACAAUAAGUCAAAACUUUCAACAACGGAUCUCUUGGUUCUG